CCACAAACAAUUAACAUCCCGCCUCUCGUUGAGUAUGUACAUGCUGUCAGACAACCAAAAACAAAAUUCUCCCACACGUCGAGCACUCCUUUGCCACCUCCUACUCCACGGGACUACCACCGUGGCCCGGUCCGUCAUCGUACAGCGCCAAGGGCCUCUCCAGCUGACCAUCUACCCGAGCGUAAAGGGCUACGAAGGCCAUAUAUGCUGACCCUUAGGCGCCCUUAUAUCUACCGUCAAAUAAGAUGUGCAUUUGACAAAUACUACCCUCGGGAAAUGUCGGUCCUGGAUGUCCUCUUGCCGCCAUACAAAAUCGACGGGGGAGCCAUAUAGGAUGGUUGUUGUGGCAGCAGGUGGUAUAGGUGGUGCAGAACACAUCUUCUACUUUGAAGAAAUAACAUAAUAAACAAGUGUGAGUUUUUAAAAUAAAAACUCAGCAAGUGCGCGAUUAGUCCUAACUUGAAUUUGGCCAAUAAUAAGACAAAUAAGUAAACAAAAUCAUCAAUUUGUUGAAUCCAUAGAAAUCUAGCCGCAACAAUCACCCAAGGGAAGACAACACUCCACACUAAACUCCCUUGCACCCAACCUGACAUCAUGAGGUCCCCUGAGAAACUAUUCAGCCCUUCUCAUACCUAUGGAGAGAAUACUGCUAUUCUUCAUCACCCCUCUCCAAGCAUCCUGACACCUAAGGUCUCACAUUGGCUUUUAACCAACUUCACACAUUCACAAUUCCCUUGUUGCAACACCAACAACCUCAGCAUGUGAACAACCACAAACAGGUCUAAACACACUUCAUUAAAUACUUCAAGGUAUAUAAGAACUCUUAUUAAAGGCAACACAACAACUGCUGCACAUUCUCGAAUCAAAGCAAUCUAUGGACUGAAAUGAGCAGUUUCAAUCACAGACACAGAAAGUAUACCUAACUUUAUCAGAAUGUUACUAAAUUUCAGUAUGUUAUAGAAGAGACAUAGAUUAACAUUUUCCGUGAAGAAACCUAAGUCUAUAUCUCAAUGUAUCAAGAGCAAUAAUUUCGGUCUUCUUUCUAAAAUUCUGCAGCAACUUCUAGAUUUAGUACCUACAGAAGAAAAAUUGUUUCACUAACCAAACCUUGUUCAUUUGUUCUCAAAUUUUAAUAUUUUAUUCCUAAGGAUGUGUCCUACCACUUCCAUAAAGGUUUUGAAGUCCAAUUUCUAUCUAGAAAAUUACAGAAAAUUCACGGAAUCAUCAAAGGUCUUGCUAUUUUCUACAAUACAGCUUACCGUUUCAAGAAAACUACUCCUACCUACACGUUUUUGCAUCCAUAUUGCUAUAACUAGAAGUUGAACUCAAUCUAAUGGAUGUUCUUUUCCUUAUCUUCAUCAUUAGAAAUCAAGGCAACACCAAACAAAAGGCUUUUCACCUAUAUUUCUCUAGAACAAAAACAUUUUGAAUCGUUUUCUUCUUUUCUAGCUCAACCAAACCAUUAAUUUCUCUACCAAUCUCUUUUACAGCAUCUAAAAAUAAUCAUAGUAGGUCUUUACUUAUAAAGAAGUAUUCAACAACUCAGUACAAAGCAAAUGUUUACAAUACACAUGGCCUUCUACCAAGUAAAUCAACGUACCACAGCUUCCUUGCAAAGUUUCAACGCCUAUGCUGACCAUUAAUCCGAUAGGCAAUUUAUAAAAAGCACACCAUCGGCAAAGCCAAACCAAAAUAGAACCGAAGGAGAGGAAGACCCACUGGAUAACGUGCAACAGCACCUCACCCAGUAACCAAAAGAAUUCCUUAGUCUAGCACAAAGGAAUUGAACUUAAGCCAUUCACAUUCCAGCUCCCAAACUGAGCUGUGGUUCCCAAAUUUCUCACACCCAACCUUGAAAUCUAUCCCGAUUUCCACAUGCACAAUUAGGCACAGCCAUUUCAUGGACCCAGGACACUAAUCACAACUGCACUAGUCUGGAUUUUUCACCGGCAGAAAAGGGAGGAAGCGUCAGGUGAGUUGGGUCUUCGCAACCGACGGCGGGAGCUCCAAAUGGAACGAGGCAGUGACGACUCCUCUGCUGAACGGAGGCGCUGGGUUACAAGGGACAGAGAUUGGGUCAGUUUUGGUGGAAUGAAGCGAGAACAAGGGAGAAAAGAAGUGGGUGUUUCGGUAGAGAGAGGGAGAGAGAAAACGUAGGUGUGGGUGGGUUCUUUCAAGG
rnacentral:lncRNA from 1 species